rnacentral:rRNA from 1 species
UGAGGAAUAUUGGUCAAUGGGCGGGAGCCUGAACCAGCCAAGCCGCGUGAGGGAAGAAGGCCCUAUGGGUCGUAAACCUCUUUUGUCAGGGAACAAAAGCGAGUAUGUAUACUGGUCUGAGUGUACCUGAAGAAAAAGCAUCGGCUAACUCCGUGCCAGCAGCCGCGGUAAUACGGAGGAUGCGAGCGUUAUCCGGAUUUAUUGGGUUUAAAGGGUGCGUAGGCGGCGGUGCAAGUCAGCGGUAAAAGCCCGGGGCUCAACCCCGGCGAGCCGUUGAAACUGCAGUGCUAGAGAAGGCGAGAGGUACGCGGAAUGCGCAGUGUAGCGGUGAAAUGCUUAGAUAUUGCGCAGAAACUCCGAUUGCGAAGGCAGCGUACUGGCGCCUGACUGACGCUGAGGCACGAAAGCGUGGGAUCGAACAGGAUUAGAUACC